CCUACUGCGGCCGAACGUAGGGACGGGCGCAAACUCGCCGCCGAAUCCCAGGCUUCGAUCUUGACUCCGCCCGCUUAUUAAAAAUUUUUGAGAUUUAAUAAUUUUGUUCAACUCAUAAAUUCCCAAAUUACAGUAAUAUUUAUUUAAAUAUAACAGUCUACUGUUUAUUUUUAGUUUUGGAUGGAGUUUACGACGGCUGACUUCAAGCAACCCGACUCUAAGCCGCAAGAAGCCAUCGACAAAAACAAACACGGGCCUGCACCUCCAUGGGGCGCCACUCAGGCGACUUAGUCGGCAGCCCCUCAAGAACCCUCCCUAACGCAGCC
rnacentral:rRNA from 1 species